GAUGAACGCUGGCGGCGUGCCUAAUACAUGCAAGUCGAGCGAACGGACGAGAAGCUUGCUUCUCUGAUGUUAGCGGCGGACGGGUGAGUAACACGUGGAUAACCUACCUAUAAGACUGGGAUAACUUCGGGACACCGGAGCUAAUACCGUAUAAUAUUUUGAACCGCAUGGUUCAAAAGUGAGAGACGGUCUUGCUGUCACUUAUAGAUGGAUCCGCGCUGCAUUAGCUAGUUGGUAAGGUAACGGCUUACCAAGGCAACGAUGCAUAGCCGACCUGAGAGGGUGAUCGGCCACCUUGGAACUGAGCCACGGUCCAGACUACUACGGGAGGCAGCAGUAGGGAAUGGUCCGCAAUGGGCGAAAGCCUGACGGAGCAGCGCCGCGUGAGUGAUGAAGGUCUUCGGAUCGUAAAACUCUGUUACUAGGGAAGAACAGAUGUGUAAGUAACUGUGCACAUCUUGACGGUACCUAAUCAGAAAGCAACGGCUAACUACGUG
rnacentral:rRNA from 1 species